UGAGGAAUAUUGCGCAAUGGGGGAGCCCUGACGCAGCAAUGCCGCGUGAAGGACGAAGGUUUUCGGAUUGUAAACUUCUUUUCUUGAGGACGAUAAUGACGGUACUCAAGGAAUAAGGCCACGGCUAACUACGUGCCAGCAGCCGCGGUAAUACGUAGGUGGCAAGCGUUGUCCGGAUUUACUGGGUGUAAAGGGCGAGUAGGCGGGUUUGCAAGUCAGAUGUGAAAUGCAGGGGCUUAACCCCUGAGCUGCAUUUGAAACUGUAGAUCUUGAGUGAUGGAGAGGCAGGCGGAAUUCCCGGUGUAGCGGUGGAAUGCGUAGAUAUCGGGAGGAACACCAGUGGCGAAGGCGGCCUGCUGGACAUUAACUGACGCUGAGGAGCGAAAGCGUGGGGAGCAAACAGGAUUAGAUAGCC
rnacentral:rRNA from 1 species